rnacentral:sRNA from 2 species
AUAAAUUAAAAGCUUAAUCUAGGUAACCUAGAACGGGGGAAAUUUUUUUUGGGGUGAAACGCAUACUAGAGUGCGAAGGGCUUAAACCUUGUUGCCCGAAUCCGUCAACUAACCUCGUAAGCUAAGAAAGGUAAGAAAC